rnacentral:rRNA from 1 species
UACGUAGGGUGCGAGCGUUAAUCGGAAUUACUGGGCGUAAAGCGUGCGCAGGCGGUUGUGCAAGACAGGGGUGAAAUCCCCGGGCUUAACCUGGGAAUGGCAUUUGUGACUGCACGGCUAGAGUGUGUCAGAGGGGGGUAGAAUUCCACGUGUAGCAGUGAAAUGCGUAGAGAUGUGGAGGAAUACCGAUGGCGAAGGCAGCCCCCUGGGAUAACACUGACGCUCAUGCACGAAAGCGUGGGGAGCAAACAGG